rnacentral:rRNA from 1 species
UACGUAGGGUGCGAGCGUGUCCGGAAUUAUUGGGCGUAAAGGGCUCGUAGGCGGUCUGUUGCGUCAGGAGUGAAAACUCGGGGCUUAACCCCGAGCCUGCUUCUGAUACGGGGCAGACUAGAGGUAUGCAGGGGAGAACGGAAUUCCUGGUGUAGCGGUGAAAUGCGCAGAUAUCAGGAGGAACACCGGUGGCGAAGGCGGUUCUCUGGGCAUUACCUGACGUGAGGAGCGAAAGUGUGGGGGAGCGAACAGG